rnacentral:rRNA from 1 species
GAUGAACGCUAGCUACAGGCUUAACACAUGCAAGUCGAGGGGCAGCAUUAGGUAGCAAUACUGAGAUGGCGACCGGCGCAAGGGUGCGUAACGCGUAUCCAACCUUCCCGUUACUCUCGGAUAGCCUUCCGAAAGGGAGAUUAAUCCGAGAUGGUGUUCGAAUUCCGCAUGUUAUUCAAACUACAGAUUCAUCGGUAACGGAGUGGGAUGCGUGACAUUAGGUAGAUGGCGGGGUAAAGCCCCACCAUGCCCACGAUGUCUAGGGGUUCUGAGAGGAAGGUCCCCCACACUGGAACUGAGACACGGUCCAGACUCCUACGGGAGGCAGCAGUGAGGAAUAUUGGUCAAUGGUCGGAAGACUGAACCAGCCAAGUAGCGUGAAGGAUGAAGGUUCUAUGGAUUGUAAACUUCUUUUAUACGGGAAUAAAACCACCUACGUGUAGGUGCUUGUAUGUACCGUAUGAAUAAGCAUCGGCUAACUCCGUGCCAGCAGCCGCCGUAAAAC